UUCUCCCUGACCCUUUAAGGGUCCUGAAGGAACGUUGAAGACGACGACGUUGAUAGGCCGGGUGUGUAAGCGCAGCGAUGCGUUGAGCUAACCGGUACUAAUGAACCGUGAGGCUUAACCUU
rnacentral:rRNA from 2 species